AGUGAACGCUGGCGGUAGGCCUAACACAUGCAAGUCGAACGGCAGCACAGUAAGAGCUUGCUCUUACGGGUGGCGAGUGGCGGACGGGUGAGGAAUACAUCGGAAUCUACUUUUUCGUGGGGGAUAACGUAGGGAAACUUACGCUAAUACCGCAUACGACCUACGGGUGAAAGCAGGGGAUCUUCGGACCUUGCGCGAUUGAAUGAGCUGAUGUCGGAUUAGCUAGUUGGCGGGGUAAAGGCCCACCAAGGCGACGAUCCGUAGCUGGUCUGAGAGGAUGAUCAGCCACACUGGAACUGAGACACGGUCCAGGCUCCUACGGGAGGCAGCAGUGGGGAAUAUUGGACAAUGGGCGCAAGCCUGAUCCAGCCAUACCGCGUGGGUGAAGAAGGCCUUCGGGUUGUAAAGCCCUUUUGUUGGGAAAGAAAAGCAGCAGGUUAAUACCCCGCUGUUCUGACGGUACCCAAAGAAUAAGCACCGGCUAACUUCGUG
rnacentral:rRNA from 1 species